rnacentral:rRNA from 1 species
UACAGAGGGGGCAAGCGUUGUUCGGAAUUACUGGGCGUAAAGGGCGCGUAGGCGGCCUUCUAAGUCAGACGUGAAAUCCCCGGGCUCAACCCGGGAACUGCGUCUGAUACUGGAAGGCUUGAAUCCGGGAGAGGGAUGUGGAAUUCCAGGUGUAGCGGUGAAAUGCGUAGAUAUCUGGAGGAACACCGGUGGCGAAGGCGGCAUCCUGGACCGGUAUUGACGCUGAGGCGCGAAAGCCAGGGGAGCAAACGGG